UACGGGGGGGGCAAGCGUUGUUCGGAAUUACUGGGCGUAGAGGGCUCGUAGGCGGCCAACUAAGUCAGACGUGAAAUCCCUCGGCUUAACCGGGGAACUGCGUCUGAUACUGGUUGGCUUGAGUGUGGGAGAGGGAUGCGGAAUUCCAGGUGUAGCGGUGAAAUGCGUAGAGAUCCGGAAGAACACCGGUGGCGAAGGCGGCCCGCUGGGCAACUGCUGACACUGAUGCGCGACAGCGUGGGGAGCAAACAGG
rnacentral:rRNA from 1 species